UACGUAGGGUGCAAGCGUUGUCCGGAAUUAUUGGGCGUAAAGAGCUCGUAGGCGGUCUGUCGCGUCUGCUGUGAAAACUCGGGGCUUAACCCCGGGCCUGCAGUGGGUACGGGCAGACUAGAGUGCGGUAGGGGAGACUGGAAUUCCCGGUGUAGUGGUGAAAUGCGUAGAUAUCGGGAGGAACACCAGUGGCGAAGGCGACUUCCUGGCCUAUUCUUGACGCUGAGGCGCGAAAGCUAGGGGAGCAAACGGG
rnacentral:rRNA from 1 species